rnacentral:lncRNA from 1 species
AAUCCGCGGGCAGGAAGGGGCCCUCCCCCCGCCCUCCCGCGGCGGCGCGGCGCCCGGCCCGGGCCGCUCCGCGCUCCAUCUCCAGUCUACCCACGUCCGCCGCGCCGGCUCCCGACGACGCUCUCGUCCCCGGUCCGUUUUGUUUACGUUCCGCGCAUGCGUAGCGCGGUGCCCUUGCGAGCCCGCCCCCGCCAAUUUCCGCGUCCCCGUUGGAUCCUAUCAGUGUUCGCGAGUGUUCUUCGAGUGCUUAUCUCAGGCAUUACAAUAUCAUUCCCGAAGUUGGUGCGACAGAAAAAUAAACACGGUGUGUCGUUCAUUAACCCGAUACCUUUGUGAUUGAGAAUACUUUUGUGGACCGGGAAAAGGCCCACAAGACAAGACAAGAAGUGCGUGCUGCAGAUUGCUCGUCGCCGAUAAGUGGCAUCCGUGGAGCGUCGCGAGGAUUGUUAUCAAGCGUGCGGCUAAUAUCAGUUAUCAGCGCGCGGCGUGUCGCGUCGCGUCGCGUGGACGCCGUUUGAGCGUCGCCAUGGCAACACGCGCCACCGCGUCGCCCCCGACGCAACCCAGGUCGAAACGAGCGACCACCCUCUUCGAAUCGGAUUAUGAGUGAAACCACGUGCUCCGUUGUGUUGUGUGAAUAUUCCUUCCGACUCUCUCGCGCAACCCGGGUCGACCACGGGCAGAUAACCUCGCCCGGUGGAAAGCUUCAAAUUUUACAAGGUGUACGCGUUGUUUCUGGAAUUUUCUCCCUUAAACUUGUGCGUUUUAAUACCUGAUGAAAGUUCAUUCGUUCCCUCAGAGUUUAGGAGAAGCUCAUGAAGUGAUUUAUUUCGUCUGAAAGGAGACGGAGCCUCAAUCGUCCUCUCAGUGGCCAGUUUUGUUUUUCCGACUGAUUAUUUCUCCUGCUUCAACGCUUUCGAAAAGUCUCAACAGUGAAUUCACUGCGCCAAAAAAUCUACAAUCGUGAGCUACAGUCGACUUUCUGAACUCUUACGUUCAAGGGAAGUUCAAUUCAUCCCCUAUCCACCACCCAGUGAAAGUUGUUUAUUCGAGGUCCCUAUCCACCACCAAGUGAAAGUCGUUCAUUCGAGGUGGCUGAUCAAUAGUUUCAUCGCUCUUCCAGCUCACUGUGUACUGUGCUGAGCUAUGUUUAUGAGAUGUGUACACCGAUCAUAUCUACCGGUUUCGCCCACUAACUACCGCCAGCAGCUGUGCCCUAUAGUUUUUCCUACCAGCCACGUCUGGAAGUAGUGUUCCCAUCUGUGCCCACUAUCCGCUUUUACCAAUAGCGUCUACUAGUCUUGUCUACCAGCUGUGUCUACUAACUACGGCUCCCGAUAGUUUGUCCGCACCAGCCGCGUCUACUACUAGUGUUUCUAUCGGUGUCUACCGGUUGUGUCUACUGGUCGGAAGGAAGUGAGAC